UCUCCUUUUCUUCUUUUGUCUGUUUCACCUUGUCCCCAUUUCUUUAUUUCUUUUUCCUUUUUCCUAUCUCCUUAAUUAUUUGUCAUAUCUAUCUGGUAUGUAACUUAUUGCAUGGGUUAAGACGAGAUUGUUUUUGAGAUUUUUAUGCAUAUUUUUUUAUUUAUGCCAUUUUUUUCAGAAAUAAAAACUUGUUAAAUGCACGAGAAAGAAAAACCACGCCGGUAUAAUGAACAGAACCAGCAAUCGACGGCCAGGGACCAUCUCGGCCGGUAUGGACUUCCUUCUAAUUUUGAAAAUGAAAAGUUGUGUCCUUAUAACCCUGAUCAUCUUGUGAGAGAAGAGAAGAUGCAGGCUCAUCUUAUCAGAUGCAGGAGAGAUAUACUAAAUAAGGGGCCCGGUCAUCCAAUGUAUAAUGCCGUGUCAAAUUAUCAAGUUUGUCCCUUCGAUGCCAAUCAUCGUCUUCCUCAAGCUGAGAUGGAAUCCCAUAUGAGUGAAUGCCCCGGGAGGUUGGAAGUUAUGAAGACGACUUCAAGUAGAAGGGAGGUCACUCCUUCCUGGAGAGAAGCUAUUGUACAGACCCGUAGUGAGGAGGUAGUAGCCUCUGAAAACUGGGAUAAUGGUGAAUAUCAGCCAACCAAGUUAAAUCCUACGCAUGGUAACCUAAUCCAACCAUCCAAUCCUACCCAUGCUAACCUAAUCCAACCAUCCAAUCCUACACAUCGUAACCUAAUCCAAUCAUCCAAUCAUAGGCAAUCUGUUCAAUCUAAUCACCUGCAGGCAUUACAAAACGAUAGAAUCCAACCAGGUUCACAUUUAAAUUCUUAUCAACAUGAAAACAACUCACAUAAUUUGCAUCGAUACAAAAGUCACUUCAAUGCAGUCCCACCUCUAUAUCCGUUGCAUGGCAUUCAAAGUUCCGUUACAGCAAACCGAUACCUUGCCUCAUCAAGUCACCAUCAGGUUCCCUCCAAUCAGUUUCAAGUACCUUCCUGUGCUUAUGUUGCUCCCAGCAAUCAAUAUGGGGCAUCUUAUGUCCAUGAAGUGACUCCAUAUGGCCAAUAUAUGACACCAAAUGUUGCGCCUUAUGGUCAGAUGAUGGCACCUAAUGCCUAUAAUGUGUCAAACCAAGGUAACUUCUUUCCUGCGCCCAUGCAGUUCUAUCCACAACCCGGUUUAGUUCCUGAACCGAUUUAUUCUGGGAUAUAUGCGAAUGAAGGAUAUCCAGUAUGCUCAGAUCCUGGCAUGAUGUAUCCAGAAGGAUAUUGGAAUGAUCCUAGCAAUGGAUAUCUGGAGCAAGAUGAGAACAGAUGCCCAGAUCCGGUCCCUGGUGCAAGGAUCAAUGCGGGGGAAGGAAGAAGUGAUGUUCUGCAGGGGGAUGUUGGGAGACCCCUGCUGAAAGCUGUAGACGUACCUGAGCCUAAUUUACAUUCAAGAUCCUUCGAUAUUAUGGAGGACAAGUUAAAGGAAAUUGAGAUGAAUAUUGGUUGUCUCCUGUUAGAUAACAGUGAUGAGAUUGAGGCUCCUAGUUCUGGUGACGGGCGUGGUCGAGGGCGUGGCGUAGACAGAAGUGACAGCAAUGGUGGACGUACCCCUAGCCUAGGGCGGGGCAGAGGUUGGGGCAGUGGAGGUGGGAGCAAACAUGUCUAACUCUAAACUCAGUUCUACAAAAAAUAUUUUGUAAUCUGUAAAAAAUUUGAAUUAUUUUUUUUAUUAAAUUCAAGAAUCAAUUCCUGAAAAUUAGAAACAUACAUUCUUUAGUGUAGAACAAAUAAGGCUGAAAUAUAAAAAAAAAAUAAUGAUUAAUAACAUUUCGACGAAUCAUGAUGUUAAUUUACAAGACGAUACACGUUAUUUUGUUUGUUCAUGUUUCUGUAAAGUAUUGAAUUAUAUGAGUUAGUUCGUCAUGUUGAAAUUAUUUCUUAUCAAAUUUAUUUUAUUAUAAAUACACAAAAUUUUGUGACCUUAUUGUAUAUUUCACAGGACUAAUAAUAAUAUAGAGAAAUAGAUUUUUAAUUUUUUUUUUCAGAAAAAAUGAGCAGAAAAUAAGGGACAAAUAGGGCCACACUUAACGGCACUUAGACUGAAAAAAAAGAACUGAUAGAUUAAUAUGAGAAUCAAGCAUAAGAAGAGAAUUAUGGACUUCAAAGAGACCUUAUUUUUUCUCCAGGAAUAUAGUUGGAUUUUCGAUUUUAAGGUGACCUGUAUUUUGGAAGACGACAUUUUAUCUCGUAUUCCAGAACGUUGGUUUAACUUUCUAUCCUCGUCUUCCAUAGAGGAAUUUAACUCUGUUAUUAUGAAGGUAAAAGAUGAAGGAGUUGAA
rnacentral:misc_RNA from 1 species